rnacentral:rRNA from 1 species
UCUGGCGAUUCGUCGGAGGGGCCACACCUGAUCCCAUUCCGAACUCAGAAGUUAAGCCCUCUAGAGGCGAUGAUACUCGCAAGGGGAAAGUAGCUAGUCGCCGGAA